rnacentral:tRNA from 1 species
AAAGGGAGACCUAAUUCAGGUAAAAGACGAAAAAAAAGUAGUCGCUACCAAGAAUCAAUCCCAAAAGGUCGGAGCGAGGCGAAAUUGGCUUUCAAACUAGGUUCUGGGUUCAAACAAGACCUGAAUCAGGAACAAGGGCUAUUAGCUCAGGUGGUUAGAGCGCACCCCUGAUAAGGGUGAGGUCCCUGGUUCGAGUCCAGGAUGGCCCACCUGCACAGGUGGCAAAAACAAGAGAAGCGAGGAAUCAGCGCCUUAUCUUACUUAUAUAGUAAGAGAGAAUGCUGGCUCUGAGUAAAGAGUCCAGAGGAACCUUGAAAACUGCAUAGAGCUAGGUGAAAAAGCCAAAAAAGAAGACCGCAAG